GACGAACGCUGGCGGCGUGCUUAACACAUGCAAGUCGAACGGAAAGGCCCUGCUCUUGUGGGGUGCUCGAGUGGCGAACGGGUGAGUAACACGUGAGUAACCUGCCCUUGACUUUGGGAUAACUUCAGGAAACUGGGGCUAAUACCGGAUAGGAGCUCCUGCUGCAUGGUGGUGGUUGGAAAGUUUCGGCGGUUGGGGAUCGACUCGCGGCUUAUGGGCUUGUUGGUGGGGUAGUGGCUUACCAAGGGUUUGACGGAUAGCCGGCCUGAGAGGGUUACCGGCGACAAGGGGACUAAGAGAGGGCCCAGAAGGGUACGGGAGGCAGCGGGGGGGAGUCUGGCGGAGUGGGGGGAAGCGUGAGGCGGCGGCGCCGGGAGCGGGAUGCUGGCUUUCGGGGGGUGAACCGAUGUGGCAUGUGACGAGGCGGGAGUGACGGUACUGGGUAAAGAAGCACCGGCUAACUACGUG
rnacentral:rRNA from 1 species